GAGUAGGGAAUACAUGCAAAAGAAGAUAAAGCACGUGAAUUCAUGGGGAGUCGCAAUCAGGACCAUCAAAUCGUUAAAGAGAUGGGAUUACGGGUUAAGCCAACUUGGGCACUAGUCAUCAAUCCAUUAGACCCCACUGGAAUCACGGUGCAUAUAUUGGAACAAUGUGGAUGGACCAACGAAUAAUUGGACUAUGCAGAUCUCUCCUCACUAAAAGAUUUUCUUUAAAAAGCAGCUCACUUUAGAACGACUUUAGUAAAAUGACGAGAUGACACAUAUCUCGUGUGUUGAUACAAUGUUGGUAAAAUAUAGAAAAUUAUGUUUUUUUUAAUUUGAAGCAUGAAGUUUUUUUUUAGAAGAAGAAAUAAGAGGAAAAGAAAAGAAAGUAAGCCUGAAAAAAAGAGUCGGAUGAUGGUGGACUGUGACUAGGGGAUAUAUAUUUAAAAGAAGAUCAAGUACCAAUACUGGUGGGCAGUCGCAAUCAGGACCGUCAAA
rnacentral:lncRNA from 1 species